CCGCUGGUGAAUCUGUUGUUCCACCAGGAGCAUGGCAGAGUAGCCAAGCCGGGCGGGGAUAAACGCUGAAGGCAUCUAAGCGUGAAGCCCCCCUCAAGAUGAGAUAUCCCAUGAAGUUAAUUCAGUAAGACCCCUUGAAGACGACGAGGUAGAUAGGGCGGAGGUGGAAGUGCAGUAAUGUAUGUAGCUGACCGUCACUAAUAGGUCGAGGGCAUAACCAAG
rnacentral:rRNA from 1 species